GAAAACUAACUAUUAAACUAUGUAGCUUCCAUAGUUACUAUCUGCAUGUGCUAAUGGUGACACGUAUAUUCUGAUGUUCCUGCGAGUUGUGCAAGACAUUGGCUCAUGAUGUUGGCUCAUCACGAGGUUCAUCGUUGGAAUCGGAUUCUCCUAAUCUUACCAAAUAUCAUCCAAGGCCUUCAAAGGGUGAGAUAAACACAACAAAACAAAGCUCAUCAUCUAAUCACUUUAUUUGGUUGAAAUUAUGCAAAGUUUCGAACAACCAUUUUGUGAUGUUACCAUAUCUCCAAAGUUCUGCUCCUCCAAAGUUGAAGGUUCAAGGGCAAUAUCGUCAAGUAUUUCCUACACAAAGAGCCAAUUUGUUUAUGGGGAAAGCUUGCUGCAACAGAUUCAGGCUAUAAGAUGGAUGGACUUAACAUAAGGAACAAAAAUUUACUCCGUUCUGCUAAAGAAAGAUUAUUACUUGAUACUCAUGAUGAGUAUGGUGGAGUAGGAGUUGAUCAUGGAAAAUUACCAUCAAAUCCUAACGCUUUCGCUUCAAUGCUUCGAAACUCUCUCUCGAAUUGGAGAACAAAGGCAAACUAAAAACCAAGGAAAUUUAAAGCCAUAUUCAUAGUGUCAUUUUCUUUAGUCAAUUUUUCAAAAAAAAAAUUGUAGGGAAAGAAGGAAAUUUGGUUGAAGUUACCUGUGAAAAAAUCAGAAUUAGUUCCAAUUACCUGUGAUUGUCUUCUCUGUGAUUAAUCAGAGAGUUUUUGUUUGAUAUUUACGUUAACUAAAAAAAAUUGGGAUUGUGCAGGAAGGAUUUGAGUAUCAUCAUGCAGAGAAAGGAUAUGUGAUGCUAACUUAUUGGAUACCAGAGUCCAGAGGAGGAGCCUUGUAUGCUUCAUGCAAAUGCUUCACAUCAAGUUGGUGUUGGAAGGCUUUGUCAAUAUAAAGAGGUAUCAAAUCCUUUAUAUAUUAAAGGAGAAGCAUUGUAAUAAAUGCAUUCACACUAUAAUAGACACGUUGCAGCUUCACAAUGAUUUGAUAAUAAAUAUGCUAACGCGUUCACACUA